UAGUACGCAAGGAAUGGUCUCAGCGAUGCUCGACUAUAUUGGCCCCAUCGAUGUAAUUAACUUCUGGCUGCUGCAAAGAAGGAGAACAAAAGGUUUAGGGAUUAAUAAGAUCACCUUCUUAUAUGCCAUGUGGGUGCAUAGCCCCUGGCAUACUAUGGAAUUAACACUAGGGCUCAUCAUACUAAUAGUGUUGACGUAUGGAUUAAAGGCCCCUACUUUAAGAUUAGCUAUGCUACUUGCGGGGGCUGCUGGGCUAUUAGCUGUGCCCCACCUACUAUGUUGGACACAGGCUAUUAAGAUGUUGGUGAUGCUUAGUGGGUUAGCUAUACUAUGUAUGCUGGACCAUCGAACAUCGCAUCGAUCAAGCUCUUUAUUGAUUUUAUUAGUGAUCUUAGGUAAUUUAUUACUUAUUGGGUCAACAAAUUUAAUUUCUAUAUAUUUAGCAUUAGAAAUGCAAACAUUAUGUAUGUUUAUCUUAGUGGCUUAUAAUAAAAACUCAUUAUUAUCGGCAGAAGCUGGGCUGAAAUACUUCGUGUUGGGGGCACUAUCUUCGGGGUUGUUCCUGUUUGGUUGCGCCUUAAUUUAUGGCUCCACAGGAGAGCUUGAGCUUCAAUUUAUUCGUAUGAGCAUAGUAUCUUAUGAGAUAUUAGCUGGUAAAUGUUUUAUUACUAUCU
rnacentral:rRNA from 1 species